AGUCUGCUUGUAAAUAACCAGGAUGCACCGCAGGAGUGGGAGUGCCUUGUUCACUGUGCAACAGAGUGGGUGCCCUUCUGAAUUGCUGGGCCUUUCCAGGGAAUACUGUGCUGUUUUCUUGAAGGUUAAAGCCAUAAUCUAGGUCAGAGAGAUGAAGAAGAAUUCAUUCUUUUGAGGAACCUAAACAUGUUUACUGAUGAGAUGACCAGAGGUCUGGAUGUGGUUUCAUACUCAAUGCUUUGAAGGCAAAGGCUUAUUACCUUUAGCUGUCUAGUGCUUGGCUGUGUACCUAGUACUGCUUUCAUGUAUUUGCUGAAUGAAUGAGCAGAAAGUACCUGGAAUGCUGGAGUGAAGCUAUGACUUGCCACGCUGGGACUGCCCAACACAGCCAGAGCCAGCUGCCGACAAACGUCCUGAGAGCAUCUGUGGGAGAGGAGAGCAGGGAUCCCCCUCGAUGGCACUGAUGGCCAGUGUUUGGAGAUCUCCCCCCAGAUUCCCGUCUUUACUGUAAAACCCACGAGAGGACAGUGUCGAGCCCAUCGUCCAUGAACUGAAACCUACCCCAGGUAUUCCAGUAUCACCCUUUGUCUUUGCUCAUUGGCCUCAAGCAUGGGAGGGUGCACAUCUUACAGAACAGAGAGACACAUUACAAUAAGGAACUUUUUUCAAUUGAGAAAGUUACCCUGAAAAGAAAAAAAAACAGAGACAUAGAAAUGGGAAACAAGUUAGUGAAUGUACAACAGAACAAAACUUUCAUCGUAAGUCAUUUUUUCUGAAAAAUUAGCUGUCAUGAUUUUUUGUUAACCUUAUAAAUAGAUUUUUGCCAUA